rnacentral:lncRNA from 1 species
UCUUCUCUCUUCACUCAAUCCACUGAAAUUCUAGACGAAGAGCCUUUCCUGUCGUUCUCCUCCGCCACCGCAGCCAACGAGAUAGAGUUUCGGCGGUUGCUAAAUGCUUAAAUAAGUGUUGGUAAAUUAGCAGCACUCUUUUAGGUUAUAGCGACACUCUUUAACUAUCACUAUAUACCUAGCGACCCCACAUAUAGCAACACUUUUUGAAAGUGUCGGUAAUUUUAGCUAGCAGCACUUUUUUGACAUGUACCUACAUUUAAAAGUGUCGCUAUAGACCAUUUUUGUUCUAGUGAUUACUUAGAUUGAUUUAUGAUUAUAUUGUUAUUAACUAUAUAUGUAGGAAAUAAUUAAGAGUAAUAAUUAGACCACCAAAAUAAGUAGAAUCUUUUUGAGAAAAACCAAAUAAGUAGAAUCACUAGAGAAAAACCAAUGGAGUGGACUUACCCGUGCACAUAUCACACACUACAACAAAAACGGUCUAUAGCGACACUUUUAAAUGUAGGUACAUGUCAAAAAAAUACUGCUAGUUAAAAUUACCGACAUUUUUAAAAAGUGUUGCUAUAUAUGGGGUCGCUAGGUAUAAAGUGACAGUUAAAGAGUAUCGCUAUAACCUAAAAGAGUGCUGCUAAUUUACAAACACUUAUUUAAACAUUUAGCAACCGUCGAAACUCUAUCUUGUUGGCUGCGGUGGCGGAGAAGGACGACAGGAAAGGCUCUUCGUCUAGAAUUUCAGUGGAUUGAGUGAAAAGAGAAGAAAAGAUGGUAAUUGAUUUUUUUCUUUCUUUUCUGUUUGUAAUCGGGCCAAAUAAACUGGGUGUGGUGGGUUGAGUAGAGUAAUCUUUUAUUUUUUGUUGGAUUGGGCUUUAUAUUUAGGCAUUAAUAAAUAUUUUUUUAAGUUUUAGGAUAAAUGAGAUACUUAUUCAAAAGUGUCCCAAAUAUUUGUCCCUAUAACCUAAUUCUAUUAUAGUGACAGUUUAUAGCGAUGUA